UUUAAUUUUUCUUUUAUGCGUUAGAAUAAAGAAAUAGAUAUUUUUUGUUUUAUAAAUUUAGGAGUUUUGUAAGUUUUAUAUGUAAUACAAGCAACGGUAAUGACUGUAAGAUUAGUAACUUUAAUUGAGGGCAGAAAUAUACUGUGACGCUCUAACUUUUCAAGGGAUCAUUCAUUUUAGGAUUAUUUUCGUCCUAACACGCAUAACUCUCCUAACUUCUUUAAUCUAGCCACCACCGAAAAUACUUAAGCCGGGUUAAAAGUUUUAAUAAUAUUAUAUCUUAUAUAUAGGACUAUUUAGGGUCUCACACCUAC
rnacentral:lncRNA from 1 species